AAGGGUAGCUCUCCUGCGGGGUCAGCAACAGUAUUUUUUUCGUGCUCAAAUUGUCCAGGAAAAGGCUACAAUAGCAGCUAUGAGGUCGCCCAACUCAUCGCAAGACAUGGCAAGCCUUUUUCAGACCUCAACCUCAUAAAACACUGCCUCGUUAAAGUCACCGAAAUAAUGUGCCCGGAAAAAGUGCAGGACUUCAACAACGUCAGCAUGUCCAGAAAUACAGUUGUGCGACGCACUGAAGACUCGUCAGCCAACAUCAAACUGCAACUGUCCGAUAAAGCUGUGCUUUUGAUUUUUACUCCAUCGCAUGCGAUCCGAGCACUGAUGCCACAGACACCGCACAGCUGCUAAUUUUUUUUUGCGGGGAGUGGACGAGAGCAUGAGCGCUUUAGGUUUAGGGUUUUGUUAAGCUUGUGGGUACAACAGCAGGAGGAGGAGGGACACGGGUGUGUGACUAAGUUUAUUCAGCCGGAUCCGGAUUAUUUUUCUUUUCUUUGCGAGCGUGUUUCCCUCUUUGCUGAAACCAUGAUGUGGUCCUUCUUCUUCUUUGGUUUAUUCAUCGCGUGUACAGGAAACCCUGCAAGUUCCUCCUGUUCAUUAAAAUGAGUCCCUCUAGAGUUGUGGUGGAAUUUGGAGGCUCCUUUUCAGCCAACUGCACCUCACUAUCUAACGAUACCGAAGGAAUGGGCUGGGAGUCUCCAUAUGGAGGAGUGGACCUUACCCAGGAUGUCACUUCUCUUCCCUUUAAAAUUCACUCUGUGCCAGAGUGGGAGAUAGGACCAAUAUGUUAUACGAAUUCCCGUGAUGGUGGUCAGUGUACACAAGUGUUACCAGUCACUGUUUAUAAAAUGCCAGACAGUGUGUCAUUGAGACAGAAUUCAACUACAGUGAAAGAAGGUGAACAGUUUGCCAUACAUUGUGACAUUGUUAAUGUUGCACCAGCAAGAAAUCUCUCUGUGCUUUGGCACAAAGGAAAUAAGAUCUUAAAUUCUGAGACAUUUGAUGACUCCAGACCAUCUCCAGUCAGUAAGUCAUCUGUCCUCACUCUGACUGCUCAUGGAGGUGAUGAUGGAGCUGAGAUCUGGUGUGAAGCAAAACUAAACCUGUGGCCAGGAGAACAAGGUCCAACCAUGAUGCGCUCAAAGUCACAUAGAGUGACUGUACUCUGGGCUCGAACAACCUUUGGAGUCAUGCUGGCAGUAGGUGUGGCCGUUGGAGUUUUGCUCCUCAUUGCUGGUGCAUUUUUUGUGACACCCAAUGGCACAUUCUCUUUCAACAAAAGCCGCUAUCAACCAGGAACUCCCUCAGGAUGAGUAUAAGAAAAUCCUGAAGGAGAAUAUGCAGCCCUGAACCUCAAGCAUGAUUGGAUUGUGCAGCAGAUCCAGAACAGACCAGCAUGUCCACCUCUGAAUGGCUACAGAAAAAAAUACAAUAAUAAAUUAAGGCACCGUCAAACUCACAGGAAAUGCAAAGCAUUUAUAAACUGCCUUUCCUUAUCACCUGUCCUGACAGCAGUGCACACCGCAGUUUUCUUAUUUAACUUCACUCUUCCAUAUAUGCCAUAUUCAAUGUCUGUAUGAAAUGUAUAUUCAGUUUAAUAUUUGAUGUAAAUCCAAAACUUUAUAUUUAUUUAUGAGAAAAAGUAAAGCCUGAAUAACUUAGUGUUGAAAAUAAACCGCACACUGAUGUGUUAAUAAUCCGAA